CCUGCUGAGAGAUCAGGUAAGGCAUAAUAAAUAAUCAGGGGCAUCGAUACAGCAGGCCGCAUCUCAGACUUGACCUCAGAGCCGUGGAACAAGACAGAUAUGAUCAAGGAAAAAAGACGGACAUUUUAACUCAUCAAAGAUCAGCUGAGGCCGAAAGCUUCUUGCAGAUUCACCGGGGCAGCUACAUGGAGCUUGAAAGAGAAAAACAUGAUGGGUAAAGAAAACCGACCCCCAUAACUGCUCAAUGACAUCUCAGGGUGACAAGGGCACAAGCUGAGCCAACACGUCUCAUUGAGCCCUCAGGGGCUUUGUGGUCUGUACCUGUGAGAACCUCCAAAUCAGAGCGAGAAGACCACCUAGAGUGACCAUCACACCCAUGACUGGAAGUAUCCGGAAAAAAAUCCUAGUGAUUUGUGGAGAGUUGCGGUGCACGGCCAUAGAUGGAUUAUAGACAGAAAGAUGAAAGGCACUAUAUAACAGGAAGGAAGGUAGACAGAAUGACAGAGUGCCUUUAACACAAUGACUGCCACGGUGACAACAGAUCAUGAGGCAAGUCUUUUGGGUGUUCCCAGCAUGCAAUGGAGUGUACGUACUAAAAGGGGCUCAAGUCAGGACAACUGCUGAAAUGAUGACACGGUCAUGGGCCCACUGAUGUGUGCGGAAAACAAAGGUUUGCCCAUCUGCUGUGAUCCCACAGAAGAGCUACUGUACCACAAAUUUCUGAAAAGGUUAAUGGUGGCCGUGAGAUAAAAGUGUCAGAACACACAAGUGCAUCACAGCUUGCUGCGUAGCUGCAGACAGGUCCCAUGCGGACCCACUGUCCACUGCUGAAAGCACCUACAUUGGGCAUGUCAGCGUCAGAACUGGACAAUGGAGAAAUGGAAGAAGGUGGCCUGGUCUGAUGAUUAAAACAAUUUUUUUUUAAAUCAUGAGGACAGCCCGGUAAGCGUGCAUUGUUUACCUCAGAAAGAAACGGCAGCAGGAUGCACUUAGGGAAGAAUGGCAAGCCGGCGGAGGCAGUGGGAUGCUCUGGACAACAUUCUGCCGGUAAACCUUGAGUCCUGGUAUUCAUGUGGACGUUACUUUGACACGUACCACCACCUACUUAAACGAUUGCUGCAGACCAUGUAUACCCCAUUCAUGGCAACAGUAUUCUUUCAACAGGAUAAUGUGCUAUGCCACACUUUAACAGUUGCUCAGGAAUGGUGUGAUGAACUUGACAAAUGGUUCAAGGUGUUGAUUUUGCCUUGAAAUUCCACUGAUCAACAAGUCAAACAAGUCUGACCCAUGGAGGGCACACCUUGCAACUUACAGGACGUAAAGGAUCUGCCACGAGGGUCUUGUUGCAGACACCACAGGACAUCUUCAGAAGUCUUGUGGAGUCCAUGCCUCGAUGGGUCAGAGCUGUUAUCAUGUUGGUCCCCACCUCAUGCCACCAAAUUAUUCGGGUGCAUUUAAUGUUGUGGCUGAUUGGUGUAAGUACUAAAGUAAUAAACCUGUUUUUAACACACACACACAAAUUCUUAGCUUUUGAUGUUCUGUGCAUUUAACUUUGCUUUCAUCACCAAGGGCCCAAUCAGUUGAGAGUACAGAUUAUAAAGCAGCCCACUAAACAAGAAAACCAGAAGCACUCGGCACAAUCUGCCUUCAAAUGACCCUAAGGUGCUACGAGGUGGACAGUUCUGGCUAAUUCCAGUAGACCACCGAAGAGGAAGGGUGGGUAAGCACUGUAAUUGCCAAGCAUGGAGGCGGAGAUGAAUCUGAAGAGUUACCUCUUUUUGAAUUUUUCCCCAUUUAAAGCUAGACACAGGCGUGUCCCAUGUGCACCCCCCUUUCUCGUGCUUUUUGUCUACUUCAGUAAAAGGUACCAGUUCCUCCUGUGCUGAGGUACUGUGCUUUGCUUAACAGUCGCGCUCAAGACACACAAAAACGCUUUCCCCACACUUACCAAGCCAGGGCACCCACAUAAGGACAAGCCAGGAAAGUAACAAAGCUUAGCAUCCUCUGCAGUGACAUAACCGCCUGAGACCUUUUCAGAUUCCAGCCUCCCAGUGAACCCAUCAUAAACAUCCUUAUCGGCAGCAAGGCUCCAGAACGGUGGGAGCGGCUGCCACAGCCAAUUGCCACACUCCUGUUGGCCCCGACACUUUGUGUGCUGGAAUGUGCUCAGCUGACACAAUGUGUUGAUAGCACUGAAGCAAAUUUUAUUUUGGUAAAGUCGCCACCACCGAAACUGCCGUGACAUGCAGUCCCACACCCUGCACUGGGCAGAUUGAAAAGUGAACUGACUGAAUCAUAAAGAGAAGGAGAUGGCAGUGGGGACGAAGGGCCUAAUCCACUAGGGGGUUCUGCUGCCUGUCCGAUGAUGCAGCUCAGUGGCACAUUGGAGAGCAGUUGAACACAACUGGAACCCCGAGGAGGAGUAAUAAUGGCAGGAGUGGUAUCACGUACACAGAUUACAAUUGCACUGUUAAGUCCCCAGCACACUACACAACGUUCCCUAUUUUUAGUCACAGCCUUCAUGUUAAUUAUCAAACCAAAUCAGGGACAAUUGCAGUGGCGCCAGUGAGCAUGCCCGCAGCUCGCUUCGCUCACCCACUCCUGGGUUUGGUUAACCAGAUAUACAAGAUUGUUAUUUUCAUGGGAAUUGUUACAUUUGCAUUAUUUUCACUUUUACUUUAAAACUUUUGUGAAAACAUUAUUUAGAAUUAACUUUUCUUCAAGAUCGCAUUGAAUUUUGAUUCCAUGUUUGGACUUACAGCAUGACAACGCAACGUAUAACUGCCUGUGAGUGCAUAUCGUUUCUUUCUCUCUAAUAAAUAAAACAACUUUUUCGAA